rnacentral:tRNA from 1 species
GGAGAGGUGGCCGAGUUAGGCUGAAGGCAACCGCCUGCUAAGCGGUUGAGCCCUUAAUCGGGUUCCGUGGGUUCAAAUCCCACCCUCUCCG